rnacentral:rRNA from 1 species
AUGCAAGUCGAGGGGUAACAGAGAAAAGCUUGCUUUUUUGCUGACGACCGGCGCACGGGUGCGUAACGCGUAUGCAAUCUACCUUUUGCUAAGGGAUAGCCCAGAGAAAUUUGGAUUAAUACCUUAUAGUAUGAUGACUUGACAUCAAGAUAUCAUUAAAGGUUACGGCAAAAGAUGAGCAUGCGUUCUAUUAGCUAGUUGGUAUGGUAACGGCAUACCAAGGCAACGAUAGAUAGGGGUCCUGAGAGGGAGAUCCCCCACACUGGUACUGAGACACGGACCAGACUCCUACGGGAGGCAGCAGUGAGGAAUAUUGGACAAUGGAGGCAACUCUGAUCCAGCCAUGCCGCGUGCAGGAAGACUGCCCUAUGGGUUGUAAACUGCUUUUAUACAGGAAGAAACACCUCUACGUGUAGAGAUUUGACGGUACUGUAAGAAUAAGGAUCGGCUAACUCCGUGCCAGCAGCCGCGGUAAUACGGAGGAUCCAAGCGUUAUCCGGAAUCAUU